rnacentral:lncRNA from 1 species
UCUGAUUCAGUCCUAUCAUAUGAAGGAGGGUAAGAAGGUUUUACAAGUCUAAUAAAUACCAUAGAAGAAAAGUGUAUCUAUAUGAUUAGUAUACAAAAUUUAUACACCAUGGUAGUGGCUUAGUAGAGCAAGAAAGAAACAAAAAUUAGAUUUGAGGAAAUGAGAAGCCACAGACACAUGCAGAUGGAUAGUACAGAUUUGAAAAACUGUGUGAUAAGUGUAUGCAGGUAUCACAAUUUGUUCCUUAUAUUUCUUGCAUUCUAGAAUCUUUUUGAGCUCAUUCAAGCACCAUUUUGAGGAAGCGUAGUUUUCUGAGAAGAUGUCAAUCGAUGCAUGUGACUCUUCAAUGGCUUUGAUGAGUUCUGGUGUGAUCUUAUCUCCUUUUUUAAGCUUAUUGUUGUCUAUAAAGGUUUGAACAUUAUUUUGGCUCAGAGCAUCAUAAAGAUGGCUUGUGAUGUUUUUGCGAGUAUCCUCACCUCGAAAGCAUUGCUCAUUUGCUGCUCAAUUUCCAGUAUUGGUUCAAAUUGUUCGUAAUUUUUCUCAACUCCAACAAGCCCCUUAAUUUCAUAUUGCCAUCUAAGAUUCAGUUUCUGCAAAACAUCUUCGACAAUGUUCAUAAUGAAGUCUGAUUCAUACCUAGAAAAUGAAAGAAGAAGAAAAAGGUUUCACAAGUCUAACUAAUACAGUA